CAGACUUUCUGUUCAGCCAUUUUCUCUGCAUGUUAAAAAAAAGAUUAAGAAAUUGUAUGCUGUUUAAAAUAAUCACAUCACAGAGAUGAUGAGGCAGGAGAUCAGAUGUAACCAUGUGCACCUGGACAUCUUAUCCCUCUUGCUGGUGAAUGGAAUGCUGACAGGAGCAGAUCUGUCACUCAGGCAGAGGAAACAGAUGGGGUGAUUGCGUAGCCUCUGGCUGGGACAGGAAGGAAGAAUGGAGGAAAAGCACUAGAGCAUGUCUAAUAGUGGCUGUGGAAUGAACUGUAUCCCCUCCCACCCCAAAUUUAUGUAUUGAAGCCCUAACCUCCCAAGUGACAAUAUUAGAGGUAGGCUGUUAAGGAGGUAAUUAAAGUUACAUGAAAUCAUAAAGAUGCAACUCUAAUUCUACAGAACUGGUGUCUUUAUCUGAAGAGGAAGAGACACCUGAACUCUCUUUCUGCCAUUGAGGAUCAGUAAGAAGGGGACCAUCUUCAUACCCAGGAAAAGCGCCCACAGGAGAAUCCAACUAUGCUAACAUCCUGAUCUCAAUUUCCUGUCUCCAGAACUAUGAGAAAGUAAAUUUCUGUAGUUUAAGUGA